CGAAAUGCGUUGAGGCGCAGCAGUUGACUGGACAUCUAGGGGUAAAGCACUGUUUCGGUGCGGGCCGCAAGAGCGGUACCAAAUCGAGGCAAACUCUGAAUACUAGGUAUGACCUUAAAAUUAAAAAAGAGGGGUCAAAGUCGGCUAGUGAGACGAUGGAGGAUAAGCUUCAUCGUCGAGAAGGAAACAGCCCGGAUCACCAACUAAGGCCCCUAAAUACAAUUAUACAUAAAUACUAAUAAUAUAUAUUUUUGGAAAAAUAAAAAAUCAUCG
rnacentral:ncRNA from 1 species